AUUUUGCAUUAGACUACUAGUGGUAGUAUUGUAUUCAUGUGUUAAGGUCUCUUUUCUCCAAGUCCAAGGUUUAUGUUUAUUGUUUUAUACCCUUACACAGAGAUGCUAAAUGACAGCUUCUCCAACCUUAUGAUCUUCAUUAUUGCUUAAUUGUUCACAUUUUGGUUCACAGAAGUUAAGUUUGAUCCCUGUGCUGUUGGACCCAACUUGAAGAAAAGCAAUUCCUUAGCAUCUACUCAUCUUCCUUCUCUGCCAAGUUCUCCUUCUCCACAGUUUUGGCAUUUAGUAAAAUUGGGAAUUAGGGGGCAAUAACAUUGUAGUUCCAAGCUUUCCUUUCAAUUGGCAUAACAUUCACUAAUAAAAUGUAAUUGACAUUCCUGAUACUCUUCAAAAUGGAAAUCAAGGAAGCAGAAAGGGUAGUUAUUGCUAAGCCAGUAGCUUCCAGGCCUACUUGCUCCAAUUUUAGGUCUUUCUCAGAGCUUCUUGAAGGUUCCAUUAAUGGUUCACCCCCUAAUGUGUGUUCAGAAACCACAGUUGCUGCUAUCAGACCAAAGACAGUGAGGUUCAAGCCAAUGGUGAGUCGUGCUCCAGCUGCAUCGGUUUCUUCCCAGGCUGAUCUCUCUGGAACAGCACUUUUCAGUUCGUCUGAUAAAGUUUCAAAUCCAGAUAGUAAACCCACUGUUAUAUAUAAACCACAGGCCAAGUUUGUAUCGAAGACAACCGUUUCUCUUUUGGCAAAUAUGGGAAAUUUCGAUGUGAGUCAUCAACAACAAUCACUACCAUUGGUUGAGGCUCGAGUUCAAAGUAUAAUCCAAGACAAACACAAUUUUACAUCCCAGAUUACCUCAAAAUUUUCCCAGAAUAUUCAAUCUCAUGCACAAACAGAUGAGAAUACCGAACCCUCAAGGUUAACAUCUCAGAUCCAGGAGGAGGAUCCAAAAAACUUAUCUGCUGCAUCUAAUGGGGAUCGACCUUCAUAUGAUGGUUAUAAU
rnacentral:misc_RNA from 1 species